GCUUCCGGAGCUAACGCGUUAAGUCGACCGCCUGGGGAGUACGGCCGCAAGGUUAAAACUCCCAUGAAUUGACGGGGGCCCGCACAAGCGGUGGAGCAUGUGGUUUAAUUCGAUGCAACGCGAAGAACCUUACCUGGUCUUGACAUCCACGGAAGUUUUCAGAGAUGAGAAGGUGCCUUCGGGAACCGUGAGACAGGUGCUGCAUGGCUGUCGUCAGCUCGUGUUGUGAAAUGUUGGGUUAAGUCCCGCAACGAGCGCAACCCUUAUCCUUUGUUGCCAGCGGUCCGGCCGGGAACUCAAAGGAGACUGCCAGUGAUAAACUGGAGGAAGGUGGGGAUGACGUCAAGUCAUCAUGGCCCUUACGACCAGGGCUACACACGUGCUACAAUGGCGCAUACAAAGAGAAGCGACCUCGCGAGAGCAAGCGGACCUCAUAAAGUGCGUCGUAGUCCGGAUUGGAGUCUGCAAACUCGACUCCCAUGAAGUCGGAAUCGCUAGUAAUCGUGGAUCAGAAUGCCACGGUGAAUACGUUCCCGGGCCUUGUACACACCGCCCGUCACACCAUGGGAGUGGGUUGCAAAAGAAGUAGGUAGCUUAAACCUUCGGGAGGGCGCUUACCACUUUGUGAUUCAUGACUGGGGGUGAAGUCGUAACAAAGGUAACCGUUAGGG
rnacentral:rRNA from 1 species